rnacentral:rRNA from 1 species
UACGUAGGGACCGAGCGUUGUCCGGAUUCAUUGGGCGUAAAGAGCUCGUAGGCGGCUGCUCAAGUCGAAUGUGAAAACUCGAGGCUCAACCUCGAGCCUGCAUUCGAUACUGGGCGGCUAGAGUCUGGUAGGGGGAUCUGGAAUUCCUGGUGUAGCGGUGGAAUGCGCAGAUAUCAGGAGGAACACCGGUGGCGAAGGCGGGAUCCUGGGCCAGUACUGACGCUGAGGAGCGAAAGCGGUGGGGAGCAGAACGG